rnacentral:tRNA from 1 species
GCCUCCAUAGCUCAGGGGAUAGAGCAGAGGUUUCCUAAACCUUGUGCCCAAGUUCAAGUCUUGGUGGGGGCA